rnacentral:rRNA from 1 species
GACGAACGCUGGCGGCGUGCUUAACACAUGCAAGUCGAACGGAAAGGCCCUGCUUUUGUGGGGUGCUCGAGUGGCGAACGGGUGAGUAACACGUGAGUAACCUGCCCUUGACUUUGGGAUAACUUCAGGAAACUGGGGCUAAUACCGGAUAGGAGCUCCUGCUGCAUGGUGGGGGUUGGAAAGUUUCGGCGGUUGGGGAUGGACUCGCGGCUUAUCAGCUUGUUGGUGGGGUAGUGGCUUACCAAGGCUUUGACGGGUAGCCGGCCUGAGAGGGUGACCGGCCACAUUGGGACUGAGAUACGGCCCAGACUCCUACGGGAGGCAGCAGUGGGGAAUAUUGCACAAUGGGCGGAAGCCUGAUGCAGCAACGCCGCGUGCGGGAUGACGGCCUUCGGGUUGUAAACCGCUUUCGCCUGUGACGAAGCGUGAGUGACGGUAAUGGGUAAAGAAGCACCGGCUAACUACGUGCCAGCAGCCGCGGUGAUACGUAGGGUGCGAGCGUUGUCCGGAUUUAUUGGGCGUAAAGGGCUCGUAGGUGGUUGAUCGCGUCGGAAGUGUAAUCUUGGGGCUUAACCCUGAGCGUGCUUUCGAUACGGGUUGACUUGAGGAAGGUAGGGGAGAAUGGAAUUCCUGGUGGAGCGGUGGAAUGCGCAGAUAUCAGGAGGAACACCAGUGGCGAAGGCGGUUCUCUGGGCCUUUCCUGACGCUGAGGAGCGAAAGCGUGGGGAGCGAACAGGCUUAGAUACCCUGGUAGUCCACGCUGUAAACGGUGGGUACUAGGUGUGGGGUCCAUUCCACGGGUUCCGUGCCGUAGCUAACGCUUUAAGUACCCCGCCUGGGGAGUACGGCCGCAAGGCUAAAACUCAAAGGAAUUGACGGGGCCCCGCACAAGCGGCGGAGCAUGCGGAUUAAUUCGAUGCAACGCGUAGAACCUUACCUGGGUUUGACAUGGAUCGGGAGUGCUCAGAGAUGGGUGUGCCUCUUUUGGGGUCGGUUCACAGGUGGUGCAUGGCUGUCGUCAGCUCGUGUCGUGAGAUGUUGGGUUAAGUCCCGCAACGAGCGCAACCCUUGUUCACUGUUGCCAGCACGUUAUGGUGGGGACUCAGUGGAGACCGCCGGGGUCAACUCGGAGGAAGGUGGGGAUGACGUCAAGUCAUCAUGCCCCUUAUGUCCAGGGCUUCACGCAUGCUACAAUGGCUGGUACAGAGAGUGGCGAGCCUGUGAGGGUGAGCGAAUCUCGGAAAGCCGGUCUCAGUUCGGAUUGGGGUCUACAACUCGACCUCAUGAAGUCGGAGUCGCUAGUAAUCGCAGAUCAGCAACGCUGCGGUGAAUACGUUCCCGGG